UACGGAGGGGGCUAGCGUUGUUCGGAAUUACUGGGCGUAAAGCGCACGUAGGCGGCUUUGUAAGUUAGAGGUGAAAGCCCGGAGCUCAACUCCGGAACUGCCUUUAAGACUGCAUCGCUUGAACGUCGGAGAGGUAAGUGGAAUUCCGAGUGUAGAGGUGAAAUUCGUAGAGAUCAGGAAGAACAUCGGUGGCGAAGGCGCUCUGCUGGACCAUAACUGACACUCAGGGACGGAAGCUAGGGGAGCGAAUGGG
rnacentral:rRNA from 1 species